AUGAAGCUGGAAUCGCUAGUAAUCGCGGAUCAGAAUGCCGCGGUGAAUACGUUCCCGGGUCUUGUACACACCGCCCGUCACACCAUGGGAGUCGGUAACGCCCGAAGUCAGUGACCCAACCGAGAGGAGGGAGCUGCCGAAGGCGGGACUGGUAACUGGGGUGAAGUCGUAACAAGGUACC
rnacentral:rRNA from 1 species